rnacentral:rRNA from 1 species
UGGGGAAUAUUGGACAAUGGGCGAAAGCCUGAUCCAGCAAUGCCGCGUGAGUGAUGAAGGCCUUAGGGUUGUAAAGCUCUUUUACCCGGGAUGAUAAUGACAGUACCGGGAGAAUAAGCUCCGGCUAACUUCGUGCCAGCAGCCGCGGUAAUACGAGGGGAGCUAGCGUUGUUCGGAAUUACUGGGCGUAAAGCGCACGUAGGCGGCUUUGUAAGUAAGGGGUGAAAGCCCAGAGCUCAACUCUGGAAUUGCCUUUAGACUGCAUCGCUUGAAUCCAGGAGAGGUGAGUGGAAUUCCGAGUGUAGAGGUGAAAUUCGUAGAUAUUCGGAAGAACACCAGUGGCGAAGGCGGCUCACUGGACUGGUAUUGACGCUGAGGUGCGAAAGCGUGGGGAGCAAACA